rnacentral:rRNA from 1 species
UACGGGGGGGGGCAAGCGUUUGUUCGGAAUUACUGGGCGUAAAGGGCUCGUAGGUGGCCAACUAAGUCAGACGUGAAAUCCCUCGGCUUAACCGGGGAACUGCGUCUGAUACUGGAUGGCUAGAGUUUGGGAGAGGGAUGCGGAAUUCCAGGUGUAGCGGUGAAAUGCGCAGAUAUCGGGAGGAACACCAAUGGCGAAGGCAGCUCGCUGGGACGUUACUGACGCUGAGACGCGAAAGCGUGGGGAGCAAACAGGG